ACUUAAAUUGAAGAGUUUGAUCAUGGCUCAGAUUGAACGCUGGCGGCAGGCCUAACACAUGCAAGUCGAGCGGUAGCACAGAGAGCUUGCUCUCGGGUGACGAGCGGCGGACGGGUGAGUAAUGUCUGGGAAACUGCCUGAUGGAGGGGGAUAACUACUGGAAACGGUAGCUAAUACCGCAUAACGUCGCAAGACCAAAGUG
rnacentral:rRNA from 1 species